UGAGGAAUCUGCCUUCAACACUGGGAUAACUCCGGGAAACCGGGGCUAAUACCGGAUACGAGACCUGCAGGCAUCUGCGGGUCUGGAAAGUUUUUCGGUUGAAGAUGACCUCGCGGCCUAUCAGCUUGUUGGUGAGGUAAUGGCUCACCAAGGCGACGACGGGUAGCCGGCCUGAGAGGGCGACCGGCCACACUGGGACUGAGACACGGCCCAGACUCCUACGGGAGGCAGCAGUGGGGAAUAUUGGGCAAUGGAGGGAACUCUGACCCAGCGACGCCGCGUGCGGGAUGAAGGCCUUCGGGUUGUAAACCGCUUUCAGCAAGGAAGAAGCGAAAGUGACGGUACUUGCAGAAGAAGCACCGGCUAACUAUGUGCCAGCAGCCGCGGUAAUACAUAGGGUGCAAGCGUUGUCCGGAAUUAUUGGGCGUAAAGAGCUCGUAGGUGGUUCGUCACGUCGGAUGUGAAAAUCUGGGGCUUAACCC
rnacentral:rRNA from 1 species